GGGUGCUUGAGACUGACCGUCUCAUGCAUGGGACGGGAAGUGGAAAGCCCCACCUGAAUAAAAAUCAGGGAUGGGGCCCGAAACAACACGUCCGAACACGUGAAGUUCGCUGCCUUACCCGCUUAAGAAGCAAGGAGGCAUCCAUG
rnacentral:antisense_RNA from 1 species